GAUGAACGCUAGCGGCAGGCUUAAUACAUGCAAGUCGAACGGUAAGGUCUCUUCGGAGAUACACGAGUGGCGCACGGGUGCGUAACGCGUAUACAACCUACCUUUAACUGGGAAAUAGCCCCGAGAAAUCGGGAUUAAUGUCCCAUAUUAUUCUGAGAAUGCAUAUUCUUAGAAUGAAAGCUCCGGCGGUUAUUGAUGGGCAUGCGUGACAUUAGCUAGUUGGUGAGGUAACGGCUCACCAAGGCGACGAUGUCUAGGGGUCCUGAGAGGGUUAACCCCCACACUGGUACUGAGACACGGACCAGACUCCUACGGGAGGCAGCAGUAAGGAAUAUUGGGCAAUGGACGCAAGUCUGACCCAGCCAUGCCGCGUGAAGGAUGAAUGUCCUAUGGAUUGUAAACUUCUUUUAUGCAGGAAAAAUAUCCCGGUCGUGAACCGGGACUGAUGGUACUGUAUGAAUAAGCAUCGGCUAACUCCGUGCCAGCCGCCGCGGUAAAAC
rnacentral:rRNA from 1 species